UACGUAGGGUGCAAGCGUUAAUCGGAAUUACUGGGCGUAAAGCGUGCGCAGGCGGUUAUGUAAGACAGGAUGUGAAAUGCCCGGGCUUAACCUGGGAACUGCAUUUGUGACUGCAUGGCUAGAGUUUGGCAGAGGGGGGUAGAAUUCCACGUGUAGCAGUGAAAUGCGUAGAUAUGUGGAGGAAUACCGAUGGCGAAGGCAGCCCCCUGGGUCAAGACUGACGCUCAUGCACGAAAGCGUGGGAGCAAACGAG
rnacentral:rRNA from 1 species